rnacentral:rRNA from 1 species
CCUACGGGGGGCUGCAGUCGAGGAUCUUCGGCAAUGGGCGCAAGCCUGACCGAGCGACGCCGCGUGGGCGAUGAAGGCCUUCGGGUUGUAAAGCCCUGUCGAGGGGGAGAAAACGCAAGUUGAUCUAUCCCUGGAGGAAGCACGGGCUAAGUUCGUGCCAGCAGCCGCGGUAAGACGAACCGUGCGAACGUUGUUCGGAAUCACUGGGCUUAAAGGGCGCGUAGGCGGGCCACCAAGUCCGCGGUGAAAUCCUCCGGCUUAACCGGAGAAGUGCCGCGGAUACUGGGGGCCUCGAGGCGGGUAGGGGCGUGCGGAACUCUGAGUGGAGCGGUGAAAUGCGUUGAUAUUCAGAGGAACUCCGGUGGCGAAGGCGGCACGCUGGACCCGAUCUGACGCUGAGGCGCGAAAGCCAGGGGAGCGAACGGGAUUAGAUACCCUUGUAGUC